GUGCUCACUCUGGCAGCACAUAUACUAAAAUCAGAAAAUAGAGGUUAGCAUGGCCCCUGCACCAGGAUGACACGCAAAUUUGUGAAGCAUUCCAUUAAAAA
ensembl:snRNA U6 U6 spliceosomal RNA